rnacentral:rRNA from 1 species
UACGUAGGGAGCAAGCGUUGUCCGGAAUCAUUGGGCGUAAAGCGCGCGUAGGUGGCCCCAUAAGUCCGCUGUGAAAGUCAAAGGCUCAACCUUUGAAAGCCGGUGGAUACUGUGGGACUAGAGUACGGAAGAGGAGAGUGGAAUUCCCGGUGUAGCGGUGAAAUGCGCAGAUAUCAGGAAGAACACCCGUGGCGAAAGCGGCUCUCUGGAACGGUACUGACGCUGAGACGCGAAAGCGUGGGGAGCGAACAGG